rnacentral:rRNA from 1 species
UACGUAGGGGGCAAGCGUUGUCCGGAAUCAUUGGGCGUAAAGAGCGCGUAGGCGGCCCGAUAAGUCCGCUGUGAAAGUCAAGGGCUUAACCCUUGAAUGCCGGUGGAAACUGUCGGGCUAGAGUCCGGAAGAGGCGAGUGGAAUUCCUGGUGUAGCGGUGAAAUGCGCAGAUAUCAGGAGGAACACCAAUGGCGAAGGCGACUUCCUGGCCUGUUCUUGACGCUGAGGCGCGAAAGCUAGGGGAGCAAACGGG